rnacentral:tRNA from 1 species
GCCGACGUAGCUCAAUGGUAGAGCAGCUGAUUUGUAAUCAGCAGGUUGCGGGUUCGAGUCCCAUCGUCGGCUCCA